rnacentral:misc_RNA from 1 species
GAAAACGUGCAUGUUAUUCGUAAUCGAUGCCAAUUUAAAUUACGACAAAAAAAAAAAUCCACACUAAAUACAAAUUCGGUAUUGUAUAUUAUUUUCUAUUACACGUUAUGCAGCAGCAAGUGGGAUUGUAUAGACAGUGUGUCUUGCGACCAGUCCGAGCGAUGACACGGCCAAAGCAUCAAGACGACGCCACCGCCGCUGUUUUACGGAGAACUAGAAUGAUGCUGCUACUUUUGCUGUUGAUGUUCUCCUUGUCAUCGUUUCCAUCGGUCACCGCCGAGUGCCCGGGCGGAUGCACGUGUUACGAUGAAGCUGUUGAAUGUUAUGACCAGAAACUGAACCGGAUACCCGACAACAUACUGCCGGCUACCAAAACGCUGAUCUUGAUCAACAAUGAAAUCAGCGAUAUCGAAUCAUUAGCAUAUUUGAGAGAGUUGCAGUUCUUGAACUUGGAUAAUAAUAAAAUCAGGGAUAUCGAAUCAUUAGCUAAUCUUACACAAUUAGCGAUCUUGUACUUGUAUCGUAAUAACAUCAUGGAUAUCAAAUCAUUAGCUCAUCUGACAAAGUUAGAGACCUUGGACUUGAGCUACAAUGAAAUCAUGGAUAUCGAAUCAUUAGCUCAUCUGACAGAGUUAGAGACCUUAGAUUUGAGCAACAAUAAUAUAAGUGAAUUGAAACAUGGUGCAUUUGCAAAUCUUUCGAAGCUUCAGUCAUUAUUUUUGUAUACAAAUAAAAUCGAAAACAUCGAGACUGGGGUUUUCAAUAACUUAACGAGUUUAGAAUCCCUAUCCUUGCAUGACAACAGUAUUCAUAAUCUUGAUUCAGAAAUAUUUAAGGGACUUACAAGACUGGAAAAACUAACAUUGAGUAACAAUAAUAUAACUGAAGUGAAGAAUCGUGUUUUUUCAAACCUUCCGAAGCUUCAGAUAUUGGACUUGCAAAAUAAUAAAAUCAGUGGUAUCGAACGGGAAUCAUUUACUUAUCUCACAAAGUUAGAGACCUUAAUUUUGAGCAACAAUAAUAUAAGUGAAGUGCAAAAUGGUGCAUUUGCAAACUUUUCGAAGCUUCAGUCAUUGGACUUGAGCUAUAACUUUAUCAUGGAUAUCGAAUCAUUAUCUCAUCUGACAGAGUUAGAGACCUUAAAUUUGAGCAACAAUAAUAUAAGUGAAGUGAAAAAUGGUGCAUUUACAAACCUUUGGAAACUUCAGGCAUUAUUCUUGAGUGGAAAUAAAAUCGAUAACAUUGAGACUGGGGCUUUUAAUAACUUAACGAGUUUGAGAGCAUUAUUCUUGGAUUACAACAACAUUCAUAAGAUCGAUUUGGACAUGUUUAAGGGACUUAAAAAACUGAAUAGACUGUUUUUAGACCACAAUAUGAUAAGAAAUAUUCCACCUGGGACAUUCGAUUCAUUAGCGUCGUUGAGUGUUUUACAGCUUGACAAUAACCCGUUGACGUGCGAUUGCAAUAUUCUGUUGUUUGUAAACGUGCUGAAGAAAAAUUACCCCCAGCGUGAUGUACUCGGGGAUAACGACCCGUCAUGUCAUUUUCCCGUAGAAAUGAGCAAAAAACCAUUGAAGGAAAUAACCGAAAACGAUUUUAAUUGCACGUCUCCGGAAAUAAUCAUGGCACCAGAGAACAAGACGGUUUCAGUCGGUGAACAGUUACAACUCUCGUGCAAAGCCGUAGGAGACCCGGAACCUUUUAUAACGUGGGCCAAAGACGACAUCGAACUAGAACUUGGGCAACGAGUUCAGGUAUUUCAAAACAAUACAUUGAUUAUAUCUAAAGUGGAAAGAACGGACGGCGGUCAAUAUAAGUGCGUGGCGUCCAAUUAUCUUGGACGAAAAUCUUUCGAGGCGAUGGUUAACGUUAACGGUAUGCAAGUGCGAUUGUGUAGACAGUGUGCUUUGCGACCAGUUCGAGCAAUGACUGUCCCGAUGCAUCAAGACGCCGCCACCGCUAUAUUCAGGAGGACUAUGGUGCUGCUACUUUUGUUGUUGAUGUUCUUCUUCUCCUUGUCGUCGUUUCCAUCAGUCACCGCCGAGUGUCCGGGCAAGUGCAAGUGCAAAGUAGAGUUCGCUUUUGAGAUAAUAAAUGUCUACUGCUCUCACCAGGAACUAGACCGGAUACCCGACCGCAUACCUCCGGCUAUCAAACUGCUAGACUUGAGCUAUAAUGAAAUCAGGGAUAUCGAAUCAUUAGCUCACCUGACAAAGUUGGAGUCAUUGGACUUGAGCCAUAAUGAAAUCAGGGAUAUCGAAUCAUUAGCUCAUCUGACAGGGUUACAGUCAUUGGACUUGAGCUACAAUGAAAUCAGGGAUAUUGAAUCAUUAGCUCAUUUGACAGAGUUACAGUUAUUGUACUUGAGGUAUAAUGAAAUUAGGGACAUCGAAUCAUUAGCUCAUCUGACAGAGAUACAGCUCUUAAUGUAAGCAUAUUUUCAGAAUGUUGAGCAACAAUAAUAUAAGUGAGGUGAAAAAUGGUGCAUUUGCAAAUCUUUCGAAGCUUCAGACAUUAUUAUUGAAUGGAAAUAAAAUC